UACAGAGGGGGCAAGCGUUGUUCGGAAUUACUGGGCGUAAAGGGCGCGUAGGCGGCCUUCUAAGUCAGACGUGAAAUCCCCCGGCUUAACCUGGGAACUGCGUCUGAUACUGGAUGGCUUGAGUUCGGGAGAGGGAUGCGGAAUUCCAGGUGUAGCGGUGAAAUGCGUAGAUGUCUGGAGGAACACCGGUGGCGAAGGCGGCAUCCUGGACCGACACUGACGCUGAGGAGCGAAAGCCAGGGGAGCAAACGGG
rnacentral:rRNA from 1 species